UGCAGCUGCAGGAUGGAAGCUCCUCGGAUCGACAGCAGCGGCCAGCGCAGCAGCAGACAGUGCAUGGCCACGGAGAGCAUCAACGGAGAGGGCACGUUUCUGGAGUGCUGUCCCGACCAGCGCAUCGCGCACCGCUUCCACCGCGGCUGCGUGACCGUGCUGAGCAGCGGGCGCAGCCGCGCCAACGGCGGCGGCAUGAUCUUCUGCCCCCACUGCGGGGAGGACGCCUCGGAGGCCCAGGAGAUCACCCUCCCCGCUCGGAUGCAGAGCCACGGCCUGUUCACGCUGACGGUGGAGCAGCCGCCGCAGUCGGCCGCCGCCGCCGCCACCGUCACUGCCGCCGCCACCCCUCCAGGAGAGGAGGGAGUGGAUAGCGUGGGGCCGUCGCUAUGCAUGCCGAACGGGAAGCCGGUCUGCCCGAGCGCGCUUCCGCCUGGAACCAGCAGGGCGGCGCUGCAGAAAGCAAUUCUGACCCAGGACUCAGAGAGGAGGAAGAAGUUGAGGUUUCACCCUCGACAACUCUAUCCAGCCGCCAAGCAAGGGGAGGGGCAAAGAGUUCUGCUGAUGCUGAUGGAGGGAAUCGAUCCCACGUACCAGCCGGACUCCCAGAAUCGGCGCUCCGCUCUACACGCUGCAGCUCAAAGAGGUUUACUGGAGAUCUGCUACAUGCUGAUACAGGCCGGCGCCAACGUGGACGCCAAGGACAAAGAAAUGAGGACUCCUCUGCUGGAGGCCGUCAUCAACAACCACGUGGAGGUGGCCCGCUACCUGGUCCAGAGCGGAGCCUGCGUCUAUCACGUCGUGAGUGCCGGGACUCGAACGCGACGACGGAUACACCGGACUAUCUUAUCUUAUCUUAUCUUCUUUCAGGACAACGGGGGCUGGACGCCCAUCAUCUGGGCUGCCGAGCACAAACACGUGGAGGUGAUCAAGGCUCUGCUGAACCGAGGAGCAGACGUCUCCAUCACGGAUAAGGAGAUGAACGUUUGUCUCCACUGGGCGGCGUACGCGGGAAGUGUGGACAUCGCCGAGAUGGUGUUGAACUCCGGCUGCUCGCUCGCCUCCGUCAACGUCCACGGCGACACGCCGCUGCACAUCGCCGCCAGGGAGGGAUACCUGGACUGUGUGACGUUGUUCCUCAGCAGAGGUGCAGACAUCGACAUCAUGAACAAAGAGGGGGACACGCCGCUCAGCCUGGCCCGGGCCGACACCCCCGUGUGGGUGUCGCUCCAGAUCAACAGGAAACUACGGCGAGGAAUUACAAACCGUCUCCUCCGGACCGAGAGAAUCAUAAGCCGGGACAUCGCCCAAGGCUACGAGAACGUGCCCAUCCCCUGCGUGAACGGCGUGGACGAGGAGGGCUGCCCGUCCGACUACAAAUACGUUUCGGAGAACUGCGAAACAUCGGCCAUGAACAUCGACCGGAACAUCACGCACCUGCAGCACUGCGGCUGCACGGACGACUGCUCCUCCAGUAACUGCCUCUGUGGGCAGCUCAGCAUCCGGUGCUGGUACGACAAGGACCAGCGGCUGCUGCAGGAGUUCAACAAGAUCGAGCCUCCGCUCAUCUUUGAGUGCAACAUGGCGUGCUCCUGUUACCGCAGCUGCAAGAACAGAGUGGUUCAGGCCGGCAUCAAAGUCCGGCUGCAGCUCUACAGGACGGAGAAGAUGGGCUGGGGGGUCCGAGCUCUGCAGGACAUCCCCCAAGGGAGCUUCAUCUGCGAGUACGUCGGAGAGCUGAUUUCUGACGCCGAGGCCGACGUCCGAGAAGACGACUCCUACCUGUUCGACCUGGAUAACAAGGACGGGGAGGUGUACUGCAUAGACGCCCGUUACUACGGCAACAUCAGCCGCUUCAUCAACCACCUGUGCGACCCGAACCUCAUCCCGGUGCGGGUCUUCAUGCUGCACCAGGACCUGCGCUUCCCGCGCAUCGCCUUCUUCAGCUCGCGGGACAUCCUGAGCGGGCAGGAGCUGGGGUUCGACUACGGCGACCGCUUCUGGGACAUCAAGAGCAAGUACUUCACCUGCCAGUGCGGCUCGGAGAAAUGCAAACACUCGGCCGAGGCCAUCGCCCUGGAGCAGAGCAGGCUGGCCCGGCUGGAGGCCGGAUCGGAGUCGGGGGGCGACUGCGGGGCGAUGAUGGGGAGCUCGUGAGGCGCGAGGUUCAUGUUUGACUCUCUAAGCUGCCACUUUAUCCUCCCACCUGCAGUAAAGCUGGACUUUUAUCAAAUGUUUGGGUUUCAGCCUCUUUCACUCAUUUCAGUUGUUUUAUUUCGUGCCACCUCAUCGUCCCGGGACCACGUGAAGCCUUAACCCGGACAGACUUGUUAGGACUCGUGUGCUCGUCGAUUGUCUUGUAUUGUUAGCAUUUCAUCUUUAUUUUUAUAUUCCUGAGUAAUAAAAAUAUUGAAAGUUGUUUUGGUUUCA
ensembl:lncRNA